rnacentral:rRNA from 1 species
UACGGGGGGAGCAAGCGUUGUUCGGAUUUACUGGGCGUAAAGGGCGCGUAGGCGGCCACCGCAAGUCAGUUGUGAAAUCUCUGGGCUUAACCCAGAACGGUCAGCUGAUACUGCGGGGCUAGAGUGCAGAAGGGGCAACUGGAAUUCUCGGUGUAGCGGUGAAAUGCGCAGAUAUCAGGAGGAACACCGGUGGCGAAGGCGGUCUGCUGGGGUAAUGCUGACACUGAUGCGCGACAGCGUGGGGAGCAAACAGG